rnacentral:rRNA from 1 species
CGUAAACAGAGGGAAGCGAGCCUGCGAGGGGGAGCGAAUCCCAAAAAUAACGUCCCAGUUCGGAUUGUAGUCUGCAACCCGACUACAUGAAGCUGGAAUCGCUAGUAAUCGCGGAUCAGAAUGCCGCGGUGAAUACGUUCCCGGGUCUUGUACACACCGCCCGUCACACCAUGGGAGUCGGAAAUGCCCGAAGUCAGUAGUCCAACCUCGUGAGGACGCUGCCGAAGGUAGGAUUGGCGACUGGGGUGAAGUCGUAACAAGGUACC